GUUGUUUCUAGCUAACAGAUGGUUUUCUCAGAACAAUAUGUUUUGCUCUUGGGCCAAAGUGAGUAAAAUUUGGUACUAGACCCUAGAAUUUAACCUCAUAUGUUGGCAGUAGACUAGAAAAGAUCUUCAGAUGAAGAGAGCAGAGUAAAAUGGAGAAAGCCAUACACUGGGAGUCAGAUGGCCUGGAUAGGAUUUUGUGCUGGCGCUCAUUAGUCAUGAAACUUGAGGCACUUACUAGCACCAGGCACUGUAGCAAGCAAUGGAGGUUAAAACAUGAAGAGACACUGUCCCAGCCCUCUCGGAGCUCACGUUCCAGCAGAUUAGCCCUGAACUAGCAUCCACUGCCAAGCCUCCUCUUUCUGCUGAGGAAGACUGGCCCUGAGCUAACAUCUGUGCCCAUCUUCCUCUAUUUUGUAUGUGGGACACCUGCCAUAGCAUGGCCUGAUGAGCAGUGUGUAGCUCUACACCUGGGAUCCGGAGCAGUGAACCCCAGGCUGCCAAAGCGGAGCGCGUGAACUUAACUGCUGUGCCACAGGGCUGCCUGUGUCAAUGACUUUCUUUUAGUAAACACAACUAGGAUUGAGGGCAGAAGGGCAGGGGAGAGAGGGAGAAAUGGAGGGGGGAGAGAGAGAGAGAUGCUUGAUUUUUUAAAAGAUGGUCCCUUGGACAAGAACAUUUGUCAAAGAAGGCCUGGAUGCUCUUGGGAAUUAGCUGACAUUCCAAAGUGUUCUCUUUUCCUGAUAGCUUUUGCACCCCUUAAGACGACACUGAGAGCGACCCUAGUCCCUCCACAGCCUUUGAAUGAAUGGGAGGCCCUGAUCUGUUUGGGUGAUUGGAUUUGUCUUGGCAGGUGGGGCUGGCUAUCAUCCACUUAAGCAGGACAGGUUCUCCAGGGUGCCAGGAAGCCUCCUCUUCAACAUGUUCUCUUGAUUUUUACUGACUCCUUUGACAGGGAGAAGCCUCUUGCUUACGAGCCACCCACUACGAGAGCACUUGCUGACGUUAAUGUGUAAAUGGCAUCCGUACCAGGCACUUUCCUGAGAAAACACUUUGAUAGAGCAGAGGACAGAGCAAGCAUGACGAUGCCCAGUUGUGGAAAACGGGAGAGGGUGUCUUCCGACCGAGGGAGGAUGGGGAGGCUCAGAGUAAGACGUAUUUCACCAGGAAGUCUCCCAAUCUGUGAAUUGAGCAUGCCUCACACGGAGAUGGAGGAAGCUGCACAGAUGUUGAAACGACUACUACAGGAUGAGAUGUUAAACUGGAAAGAAAACUUACAGACCUACAGGAACACAAGGACAGUAACAUCUUUGUAUUCUCACAACCCAGAGAUGUAAAAUGUGUGUGUAAGAUGGAGAUAGAGCUUCUGCAUUUUCAAAAUGCUCAGAUGCCUGCAUGUGAAAGGCAGAGAGGAGAACCGGGACUCUCAGAGGAGAUGAAUUUUGACUCCAGACUGACUGGAACCAUCAGGAACUGGUGACUUGUGACCACAGCUCGUCCCGAGCAGACUCACUGCUGCCUCUGUGGUGAGCCUAUUUUCAAAGCCCCACAGUGGCCCCUUGUAAACUUUUCUCUUUUCCCUCAAGCCCUGACCCCUCCAGUCCACUUGAGCUCCCACUGUGUGGAGACAAAAGGCCACCUAUUCUGUAGCAUCCCCCUCAAAACACCUCUAUUUUCAGCCCUUCUUCCUCCCUAUUUUAAUGAGCAGGUUUUCUGGAUUUUUCCCGAGGUCAGUUUCCCUGCUUGUGUGCUUGGCCCCAUCCUUUCCACCCCCCCAGGACCUUACUCAUUUGGUGAAAAUACAACUUUUUAGAAAUAAAUAUGUAACGUUCUCUGCACUUAAUAUUUUAUGGUAAUUAGGCUUUUUAAUCCCAAUGUCUGCUAUGCUAGGCUGACAGGAUUUUUAUGUAAACUAGCUGAUUUAUAUAUAUGUAAGUCCUAUAUAUGUAUAUGAAAAUUACAUUGGUAUGUUUAGACUAGUACAGCAGUGAGGAUGACAGAGAGAAAAGCAGGCGUAUGAAAAUGCAGAACAAUAGAUUAAACUGUGAAGCCUUUGUAGGUGGACAGCCUGAGCAUGCUUUGCUAAUUGUUUUGAAUCCUCAAUACCCUGUAGUGCAGAAAGGGUGGGGCAAGGGGCCCAGAAUCACACAUGUAUCAUGCCUUAAAGGCAAGCUGCAGACAAAAGCUGUGUUGAUGCCAUUACUAGAACUCCUCCCUGCCAUGUCCCCUACCCCCACUGCUGGGCCCCCUAACUUGUUUAUUUCUAUUGAAGUAUAACAUACAUUAAAUAAUUUUCCCCUUUUAAAUGCACAGUUUGAUAAGUUUUAAAAUAUGCAUACUUCUAUGUGACCACCAGCACAAUCAAGAUACAGUUUUGAUUUCAUCACCCAAAAAGUCCUCUCUUGCUCCUUUGCAUUCAAGGUCUGCUCCUCCCAAUCCCAGGAAUCCAUCAGGUUGUUGUCUCUGAGCAUUAUGGACUGCGUGUUCAUGUCGCCCCAAUUAAUAUGUUGAAACCCUAACUCCCAACAGAGUGGUAUUAGGAGAUGGGGCUUUUGGGAGAUAAUUAGGUCAUGAGGAUGGGGCCCCCAUGAUGGAGAUUAGUGCCCUUAUAAGAAGAGGAAGACAGCUAGCUCUCUGCUGUCUCGGCCAUGUGAGGAUACAGCAAGAUGUCCUCUGCCAGCCAGGAAGAGAGCCCUCAGCAGAUAUUAGAUCUGCCCGUGCCUUGAUCUUGGACUUUCUAGCCUCCAGAACUGUGAGAAACAAAUGUUUACUGAUUAAGCCACCCAGUCUAUGGUAUUUUUUUGUUAUAGCAUCCCAAGCAGACUAAGACGCUUAGUAUAGACCAGUUUUGCCUGUUCUAGUAUAGAUUCACAAAUUAGUUUUGACUGUUUAUACAAAUGGUACAUUCGAUAUAAACUCUUUAUUGUCUGGAUUCUUUUCCUCAACCUAAUAUUUUAAAAAUUCUUCUAUGUUAUUACAUGUAUCAGUGUUUCUUCCUUUUUAUUUGUUAGUGGUAUUUUAUUGUAUAAAUACACCACAAUCUGUCACAUUUGGGUUGUUGCCAGUGUUUGGUUAUUAUGAAUAAAACUACUAUAACAUU
rnacentral:lncRNA from 1 species